GUGAACGCUGGCGGUAGGCCUAACCCAUGCAAGUCGAACGGCAGCACAGGAGAGCUUGCUCUCUGGGUGGCGAGUGGCGGACGGGUGAGGAAUACAUCGGAAUCUGCCCAGUCGUGGGGGAUAACGUAGGGAAACUUACGCUAAUACCGCAUACGACCUUCGGGUGAAAGAGGGGGAUCGCAAGACCUCUCGCGAUUGGAUGAGCCGAUGUCGGAUUAGCUAGUUGGCGGGGUAAUGGCCCACCAAGGCGACGAUCCGUAGCUGGUCUGAGAGGAUGAUCAGCCACACUGGAACUGAGACACGGUCCAGACUCCUACGGGAGGCAGCAGUGGGGAAUAUUGGACAAUGGGCGCAAGCCUGAUCCAGCCAUACCGCGUGGGUGAAGAAGGCCUUCGGGUUGUAAAGCCCUUUUGUUGGGAAAGAAAUCUUUCAGGCUAAUACCCUGGGAGGAUGACGGUACCCAAAGAAUAAGCACCGGCUAACUUCGUG
rnacentral:rRNA from 1 species